rnacentral:rRNA from 1 species
AUACAUGCAGUCGAGCGAACAGAUGAGAAGCUUGCUUCUCUGAUGUUAGCGGCGGACGGGUGAGUAACACGUGGGUAACCUACCUAUAAGACUGGGAUAACUCCGGGAAACCGGGGCUAAUACCGGAUAAUAUUUUGAACCGCAUGGUUCAAUAGUGAAAGACGGUUUCGGCUGUCACUUAUAGAUGGACCCGCGCCGUAUUAGCUAGUUGGUAAGGUAACGGCUUACCAAGGCGACGAUACGUAGCCGACCUGAGAGGGUGAUCGGCCACACUGGAACUGAGACACGGUCCAGACUCCUACGGGAGGCAGCAGUAGGGAAUCUUCCGCAAUGGGCGAAAGCCUGACGGAGCAACGCCGCGUGAGUGAUGAAGGUCUUCGGAUCGUAAAACUCUGUUGUUAGGGAAGAACAAAUUUGUUAGUAACUGAACAAGUCUUGACGGUACCUAACCAGAAAGCCACGGCUAACUACGUGCCAGCAGCCGCGGUAAUACGUAGGUGGCAAGCGUUAUCCGGGAAUUAUUGGGCGUAAAGCGCGCGUAGGCGGUUUCUUAAGUCUGAUGUGAAAGCCCACGGCUCAACCGUGGAGGGUCAUUGGAAACUGGGAAACUUGAGUGCAGAAGAGGAGAGUGGAAUUCCAUGUGUAGCGGUGAAAUGCGCAGAGAUAUGGAGGAACACCAGUGGCGAAGGCGGCUCUCUGGUCUGUAACUGACGCUGAUGUGCGAAAGCGUGGGGAUCAAACAGGAUUAGAUACCCUGGUAGUCCACGCCGUAAACGAUGAGUGCUAAGUGUUAGGGGGUUUCCGCCCCUUAGUGCUGCAGCUAACGCAUUAAGCACUCCGCCUGGGGAGUACGACCGCAAGGUUGAAACUCAAAGGAAUUGACGGGGACCCGCACAAGCGGUGGAGCAUGUGGUUUAAUUCGAAGCAACGCGAAGAACCUUACCAAAUCUUGACAUCCUUUGACCGCUCUAGAGAUAGAGUCUUCCCCUUCGGGGGACAAAGUGACAGGUGGUGCAUGGUUGUCGUCAGCUCGUGUCGUGAGAUGUUGGGUUAAGUCCCGCAACGAGCGCAACCCUUAAGCUUAGUUGCCAUCAUUAAGUUGGGCACUCUAGGUUGACUGCCGGUGACAAACCGGAGGAAGGUGGGGAUGACGUCAAAUCAUCAUGCCCCUUAUGAUUUGGGCUACACACGUGCUACAAUGGAUAAUACAAAGGGCAGCGAAUCCGCGAGGCCAAGCAAAUCCCAUAAAAUUAUUCUCAGUUCGGAUUGUAGUCUGCAACUCGACUACAUGAAGCUGGAAUCGCUAGUAAUCGUAGAUCAGCAUGCUACGGUGAAUACGUUCCCGGGUCUUGUACACACCGCCCGUCACACCACGAGAGUUUGUAACACCCGAAGCCGGUGGAGUAACCUUUUAGGAGCUAGCCGUCGAGG